AUGUGUUUGAAGCAUGGGUUCCCAUCAGUUUCAGAUCUUUGUGGAAGCACUGCUCAUGAUGUCUGGAAGAACUUUUGGAUCAUUCUUGCCUCCAGCUUCCUCUCCCUGCCUGCAUGCAAGGGAUUACCACAGGUCAGCUUGCAGAGAGGUAUGGACAGACAUAGCCCAGAGUUGUGGCAGCCAUUAAUAGAUCAAACAAGCCCAUGCAGCUGUGUUUUGAUCAGUGGAAAGGUUUCUGGCAACCAAGAGCUGAAAUCACCUUUUGGGUCAUCACACCUCACUGGAGGUUUCCCUGCUUUAAUGAGCAUCUCAGAAACUGUAGAGAGGACUGGAGAAUGGGGGUCGUUGUACAUUCUUGUAUUUGAAAGCAGCUCCAUAGUAUCCGCAAGAGGAUUCUUGGCACCUGCCUAG
rnacentral:lncRNA from 1 species